UUUUUCCCUACAAAGAUUGUAGUAGAUUAUAGAACUAAAUUGUACUUUACCCUAAAUUUUUUUUUAAGAAGAAAAUACUUUAUUAAAAAGAGCAAAAGUCCUGAUUGGCCAAGCAAGUUAGCCAACUGGGAAAACAACGGUCCCAACUCUCACUUUCCUUUUCCUCCAAAACCCUCCUCGCAACAGAACAGAAUGUGCCCAAACAUUAGCAUCCCUACUCACUUUAACUCCUUCAAUCUCUUGAUUUCGUCAACCAACCAUUGGAUUUCGGAAAAAUCGUCGACUUGCUCAUUCAAAAUCUGGGCCACCUCAAUUGAAUCACAGAUCGGGAACGGCGUCGGUCGAUUUUCCAGCCAACGAAGCCCCUCCAGCACUGCUUCCAUCUCUAGCAUUUUCACGCUCCAGCAGUUAUCGACCACCUUAUUUCCGGCGUAGAUGACCUCUCCCGUCCAGCUUCGCACCACCCAUCCUAACCCGCCCAAUUGGUGAGAAGAAGACCAAGAGGCGUCGGUAUUUAGAGUCCAGAAGCCAGUCCCAGUGAUCCCCAAUACCGACAAUCCCAGAAAAGUUGGAAGUCAAAAUUCCUGCAAAAAACACAAGCAAAAUCAGUCACAAUUCCUUUUUUGCUAAGGUUAGAUUUUAGGGGAAUUAAAUUGUUUGCAAACUUCCAAGCACGCAAUCUUGAUUUUUGGGGCUACAGAUGUCUUCCAAAGUCGCUUCCAACGUUUAGCUUGCUGAUGCGAAUUAGAGGAGGUGGCCAUCUGGUUGUCAUGCUUUUGCAUCCCUAGAUGAUAAGCUCUCUUCACUGAAAAAAUUCCUUUGUUGUCUGCUCCCCAAAUUUUAAUGGUUAUGGAGAGAGGUAAGUAUAUUGUAUAAUUGAAAGUAAGAUGUUAAUCGGACGAAGUUGGGGAAAGCUUCCCAUCCCCAUUCCCACGA